rnacentral:rRNA from 1 species
AUUGAACGCUGGCGGCAGGCCUAACACAUGCAAGUCGAGCGGAUGAAGGGAGCUUGCUCCUGGAUUCAGCGGCGGACGGGUGAGUAAUGCCUAGGAAUCUGCCUGGUAGUGGGGGAUAACGUCCGGAAACGGUCGCUAAUACCGCAUACGUCCUGAGGGAGAAAGUGGGGGAUCUUCGGACCUCACGCUAUCAGAUGAGCCUAGGUCGGAUUAGCUAGUUGGUGGGGUAAAGGCCUACCAAGGCGACGAUCCGUAACUGUUCUGAGAGGAUGAUCAGUCACACUGGAACUGAGACACGGUCCAGACUACUACGGGAGGCAGCAGUGGGGAAUAUUAGACAAUGGGCGAAAGACUGAUUAAGCAAUGCCGCGUGUGUGAAGAAGGUCUUCGGAUUGUAAAGCACUUUAAGUUGGGGGGAAGGGCAGUAAGUUAAUACCUUGCUGUGUUGACGUUACCAACAGAAUAAGCACCGGCUAACUUCGUG